CAGUCGCCGCGGUAAUACGUAGGGUGCAAGCGUUAAUCGGAAUUACUGGGCGUAAAGCGUGCGCAGGCGGUUAUAUAAGACAGAUGUGAAAUCCCCGGGCUCAACCUGGGAACUGCAUUUGUGACUGUAUAGCUAGAGUACGGCAGAGGGGGAUGGAAUUCCGCGUGUAGCAGUGAAAUGCGUAGAUAUGCGGAGGAACACCGAUGGCGAAGGCAAUCCCCUGGGCCUGUACUGACGCUCAUACACGAAAGCGUGGGGAGCAAAUGGGAUUAGAUACCCCAGUAGUCCCUGUCUCUUAUAA
rnacentral:rRNA from 1 species